GUGGUCCACCUCUCUUUUGUUUUCUUUUGUAGAGGUUAUGAGAGUUUUGUACCUGGUUAUAGAGACCACCCUAUUUUUGUAUCUUGAGAUUUAUGAUGUAUCAGUUUACUUUAUGCUUUAGUAGUAUGAUUUUCUUUUGAUUCUACCUGAUGUUAGAACCUAGCUAUAUACUUGCUCUGAUAUCUCUAGUUGCAGAUCUUCUCAUUCUUUAUUCUUCCGCUUUUGUGUAGACGCCUUAUAUGUGUAAACAUAUGGCGGGUCUGGGCGCGCACCGGGCAGGCCUAUGCCGUGUCCCGGGGCGUGACAGAUUAAUUUGGUAUCAGAGCCUAGGGUUGAGUCUUAGUGGACCUAGCGAACCUUAGGCCGGUUGGACUAUAGGAAUUAGACUCGUGAGAGACGAAGGCUAUUUAAUUUAUGAGCGAAAGUAUCAUGAUUGGGUUUCCUUGAUAACUCCAAAAUGUUGGAGUUGAAUCGAAGUGUAUGGCUUCUAACUUCGUGGAGGGUUACGUUGGCGGCCGACGACGUAACAUCAGGAGUUAGUAGUUGGGACACUUCUUUACUUUCGCAUGAUUUGGAGUGUGGUUAUUUGAGCGGGGUUGCGAUAGCGUGGGUUAUAUUAACUUGCGCUUUUAUGAUGUUGUAGUGUUGAUGCCGACUACACGCUCUAAGUCUGUUAGAGCGGAAGAUGCGGCGACUUUUGAGGAAGCGGAGACAUCCGCUACCUCCCGAUCCGGUGAGGUCCGUGAGUUGAGGAGCCAACUUGCCGCCCUCACCGAUUUGGUGACGCAGCAGGCGGCGGCGGCCCAGCAGCAGGCGGACACGGCACGACGGCAGGAGGCACGGAUGCAGCGCCUGGAGGACCUUCUAUUACAGCAGGCAGCUGCUAGGGAGGCUCAGGUCUCGGUACUACCCGCGCCAGUGGAGACAGUUGCACCCGGGGGGGGUCGUCCCCUGUAUUCGACACUUCGCAGACGACACUUACGGUAGCCCAUCGGGAGGAGGUAUUGGCAGCACCACCAGCUCAGUUGCCUGUGGCAGCGGCGACUUUUCCCUUGAUGGUUGAAAGAGCGGAGCGGCAGCGGCUCAUGGAUCGCCUCGAUGAGUUCAGGAGGUGCGAUCCCAGGAUCUUUGAUGGAGAGAAAGCCGACCACCGGAUCGUUGAGAAGUGGUUGAUGCAUGNGGUAUCAGAGCCUAGGGUUGAGUCUUAGUGGACCUAGCGAACCUUAGGCCGGUUGGACUAUAGGAAUUAGACUCGUGAGAGACGAGGUCUAUUUGAUUUAUGAGCGAAAGUAUCAUGAUUGGGUUUCUUUGAUAACUCCAAAAAGGUUGGAGUUCGAUCGAAGUGUAUGGCUUCUAACUUCGCGGAGGGUUACGUUGGCGGCCGACAACGUAACAUCGGGAGUUAGUAGUUGGGACACUUCCUUACUUUCGCAUGAUUUGGGGUAUUAGCAUUUGAGCGGGGUUGCGAUAGCGUGGGUUGUGUUAACUUGCGCUUUCAUGUUGUUGUAGUGUCGAUGCCGACUACACGCUCUAAGUCUGUUGGAGCGGACGAUGCGGCAACUUUUGAGGAAGCGGAGACAUUCGCUACCUCCGGAUCCGGUGAGGUCCGUGAGUUGAGGAGCCAGCUUGCGGCCUGUCACGCCCGGGUACCAGCGGAAGCAUAUCCGGCACGUGCACAGACCCGCCAUACACCUGCAGUAUAUAAGGCGUCUACAAGAAGCAAGUCGAUAGGAAGUAAAACAAGAGAGUCCUAUCCUGAUAUCAGAGCAAAGUACAAGACGAUAUACCACGAGUAUCCAAUCCGAGUCAAUAUACAAAGAGUAUACAAUCCACAAUCUCAGCAAAAAGGAGAAGUAACACCACUACAAUCUCAACCCGAAAGUAAAAAUACAACAGAGGGUAUACAAAAAGAAUAGGCACAACGGUGGUCUCUCUAUACAUAGGGACAUCACCCUCGGCUGAAGUCCGAGUAACAAGGUGAUGACUAGCACGCUCCUAGUAGUCCCUAGCUAGGCGCGACUCCCUUGCCACGAUCCCUAGCCUCUCCUGUAACAGGCUCUGUAAAAACAACCACCAAAAGGGCGUGAGAACUAUAAACAAUAGUUCCCAGUGGGUAAGCCGCCAGCCUCGGCGAAUUACACCACUAGGCUCAUGAUGUACUAAAUGGAAAUAAAAGCAGUAAUUUGCAUGAUAUACUUUCAAUGCUAACAACUAAAGAACAUAUAAUCAUAGUCUCAACAGUAAUGAAUCAACUGAUUAAUAGAAGCAUAGCAACUACUAUAAGCAUGAACAAAAGCAUAAAUGUGUAAGUAACUACUGUACACUGUAACUGGUAAUCAUUCAUUACUGUCCAAUAUCCUUUAGCACUUUCCUUUCAUUCACAGGGAUCUACUCAAGGUAGUCCAGCUUGCGCCGCGCCUAAUGGCCCCGUGGUAGUAUACACUCCCCACGGCAAUCCACUUCGGCACCCAAUCCCGCACGGGCGAGCAACUGUCGCGUAGGCCAACUCCGGAGUGCCGG
rnacentral:lncRNA from 1 species